CCUACGGGAGGCAGCAGUGAGGAAUAUUGGUCAAUGGCCGGAAGGCUGAACCAGCCAUGCCGCGUGAAGGUCAGUGCCCUAUGGGCGUUAAACUUCUUUUGUGCGGGAGCAAUAAUGGUCACGUGUGGCCAGACGAGAGUACCGUACGAAUAAGCAUCGGCUAACUCCGUGCCAGCAGCCGCGGUAAUACGGGGGAUGCAAGCGUUAUCCGGAUUUAUUGGGUUUAAAGGGUGAGUAGGCUGUGAGGUAAGUCAGCGGUGAAAUGCCCCCGCUCAACGGGGUGAAGUGCCAUUGAUACUGCCUGGCUGGAAUGCGGAUGCCGUGGGAGGAAUGUGUGGUGUAGCGGUGAAAUGCAUAGAUAUCACACAGAACACCGAUUGCGAAGGCAUCUCACGAAUCCGCGAUUGACGCUGAUGCACGAAAGCGUGGGUAUCAAACAGGAUUAGAUACCCGAGUAGUC
rnacentral:rRNA from 1 species